CAGGGAAAAGGGUAUUUCAUCCCAACUUUCGACAGUAUAUUGUCUGCAGCCAAUAUACUUAUCAAAAGAAAAGCAAAAUACCUGAAAAUUCACUGCCUACCACAAGUUGGGAGCGCGACACAUUGAAGUACCAAACCACUUGAUACUUCGUUACAAAACCAAAUGUCCCCAACCAAAACCAUCGAAACGUCGACUUUGCAAGUCGACAUUCGAAAUCAGAUCGACCCUGAAUCAACUCACUG
rnacentral:lncRNA from 1 species